rnacentral:rRNA from 1 species
AAUUGAAGAGUUUGAUCAUGGCUCAGAUUGAACGCUGGCGGCAGGCCUAACACAUGCAAGUCGAGCGGUAGCACGGGAGAGCUUGCUCUCUGGGUGACGAGCGGCGGACGGGUGAGUAAUGUCUGGGAAACUGCCUGAUGGAGGGGGAUAACUACUGGAAACGGUAGCUAAUACCGCAUGAU